GGAGUGCGAGCAGAGCUGGCUACUGCACCGGACUGUAAAUCCGGCGUCUUCGGGCAUACGGGGUUCGAGUCCCUGGCACUCCACCA
rnacentral:tRNA from 1 species